rnacentral:rRNA from 1 species
ACUCCUACCGGGAGGCAGCAGUGGGGAAUAUUGCACAAUGGGGGAAACCCUGAUGCAGCCAUGCCGCGUGUGUGAAGAAGGCCUUCGGGUUGUAAAGCACUUUCAGCGAGGAGGAAAGGUCAGUAGCUAAUAUCUGCUGACUGUGACGUUACUCGCAGAAGAAGCACCGGCUAACUCCGUGCCAGCAGCCGCGGUAAU